rnacentral:sRNA from 1 species
CCCAUGCCACUAUGCUAUCUCUAACUCUGCCAUCGAGACCGAGCAAACGCACUUAAGACCUUUGUGUAAGAUCAGAAACUCAUAAGACAGCAUUAAAAAGUACUAUACAGGAGGAGAUGGAAUAAGAUGGCCAAAUAGAAGCCUCUGGCAAUCAUCUCCCCCAAAGGAAUUGAACAACUAUCGAAACAAAAUUGAACAACUCUCUAAACAAAAAAAGUACCUUCAUAAAAAACAAAAAUCAGACAUAUGAAGGAGGGUCUUUUCAUAUUAAAUUGUUUUCCUGGCAGCACCUGAACCAAAGGAUAAGACUUCAAAUAAGUCUUUUUCCAAUGUUAUGCUGAAACUGGAUUCAACAUUUCUCAUAAAACUUCUAAGUCAAACAGUGAUGAGAAACUACUGCCUAAAAGUUGAUAUUAUGGAUUCCCAUAAGGAUUCAUGUCUCCUAUUCACUUUAAUGAACAGUUGUUGGGCAACAAUUCUAGAAGAGUUCCAACUCUCAUCAGGAGUAUGGACAAGGUGGAGAAGCAGAGAAAAUGCAAUGAGUAGAAUGUCUAAGUCAUCACUUUGGAAUUGACUGAACAUAAAUAAAAAUGAGAAAGAUACGUAAAAAAGAAGGGAAUGGUUGCCACAGCCCCCAUUUUGCAAACGAGGCAGCUGAGGUUCCCAGAGGCUCAAUACCAGCACCAUGGGCCGAAGCACGCAGGGCAAACACAGCCGGAGGAUUUUAAUGCCUUUUGUAAAGACCUGCCUAAUGGUUCUGCCUUCAGUGCAGACAAUAUGGAAGAGUGUGACAGAUGUUAUCAUUGCUCCAUUGUGUACGAGCGUAGGACGAAGCUUCUCUUCUGUCAGCCUGCAACU